rfam:Phialocephala scopiformis strain CBS 120377 unplaced genomic scaffold LY89scaffold_17, whole genome shotgun sequence.
GCCCUUGUAGCUCAACAGUAGAGCGCGUCACUUGUAAUGACGAGGUUGGCGGUUCGAUUCCGCCCGGGGGCA